rnacentral:rRNA from 1 species
UACGUAGGGUGCAAGCGUUGUCCGGAAUUAUUGGGCGUAAAGAGCUCGUAGGCGGUUUGUCGCGUCUGCCGUGAAAGUCCGGGGCUCAACUCCGGAUCUGCGGUGGGUACGGGCAGACUAGAGUGAUGUAGGGGAGACUGGAAUUCCUGGUGUAGCGGUGAAAUGCGCAGAUAUCAGGAGGAACACCGAUGGCGAAGGCAGGUCUCUGGGCCAUUACUGACGCUGAGAAGCGAAAGCAUGGGGAGCGAACAGG